AUCCAGCUGACCAGUCCCAAAUAGGACGAAACGUGCGUCCUGGAU
rfam:Schistosoma rodhaini strain Burundi genome assembly, scaffold: SROB_scaffold0003810